CAUCAGCAGCAGGGGGAUGCCGCACAGGAACAGCAUCAGGAAAUAUGGUAUGAGAAAUGCACCUGUUGGAAGAAUUAUAACAAAUGGGUUGGAAGAUUCGAAAGGACACUAUAAUACCCUUAAAAUAUGUAGGUUGCAUCAUCUCACUUCACGUCAUCGCCUUACGGACGCAGCUGCUAUGGAGGAAGGAGAAAUCAAAAUCUACGGGCACGACACUCCAAAAUACGAUAUAAAAAAAAA